AUUUAGUCAUGUUCUGUCUAACGCAGUUGCUUUUUUUACAUUUAUGUUAUAGUUAUAUUGACCUUCAGUAGUACAUGUAUGUUACUCAUUGUCACAUGUGCAGCUUGCCUGUGCUAGUAUUAUAUUUUUAUGGUUCAUUCGGAUAUUUUAAUCAACAAACGUACUAAAUUAUCUCACUUUAGCAUCGGAUGGGACUACCACAC
rnacentral:lncRNA from 1 species